rnacentral:rRNA from 1 species
AUUGAACGCUGGCGGCAGGCCUAACACAUGCAAGUCGAACGAGUGGCGGACGGGUGAGUAAUGUCUGGGAAACUGCCCGAUGGAGGGGGAUAACUACUGGAAACGGUAGCUAAUACCGCAUACCCUCGGAUGUGCCCAGAUGGGGUUAGCUAGUAGGUGGGGUAACGGCUCACCUAGGCGACGAUCCCUAGCUGGUCUGCGAGGAGGACCAGCCACACUGGAACUGAGACACGGUCCAGACUCCUACGGGAGGCAGCAGUGGGGAAUAUUGCACAAUGGGCGAAAGCCUGAUGCAGCCAUGCCGCGUGUAUGAAGAAGGCCUUCGGGUUGUAAAGUACUUUCAGCGAGGAGGCGUUACUCGCAGAAGAAGCACCGGCUAACUCCGUGCCAGCAGCCGCGGUAAUAC